CACAUCGUACAGCACUGCUGGGACAGACACUGGCUGGGCUGAAAUGGGGCCCUGCAUCGAGGGUGUGGGGAGAUCAGGAUGGAGGCUGUGGCAGGGCUCUUUUUAAACUCACUCUGCAAGGCUCAGAAGGGGAGGGCAGGAAUAAAAAGGCAGUGUCUUUCAAAAUCAGCCUCACCCUCACAGCUCAGCAGUGCUGCAACGUGCUUUUGAAUUUAACUGAAGAGGGUGCUUUUAUAUGUCACUGCUCUGCCCCAAAAUCAAGUAUACUCUAUUAUACCCUGGAGUCUUAACUUCUUUGGUCAAUCUCCAGGAUGAAAAAAUCUUCAGCACUGUGCAAAUACAUCAGCUC